rnacentral:rRNA from 1 species
CGUAUAUUAAAGUUGUUGCAGUUAAAAAGCUCGUAGUUGGAUUUGUGGCUGUCGCUAGUGGCCUGGCACUUAGUGCCAGUGCUUGCUGGCGUCGCCAUCCUUGGGUGGAGCCUGUGUGGCAUUAGGUUGUCGCGCAGGGGAUGCCCAUCGUUUACUGUGAGAAAAUUAGAGUGUUCAAAGCAGGCUUAUGCCGUUGAAUAUGUUAGCAUGGAAUAAUAAGAUAGGACCUUGGUACUAUUUUGUUGGUUUGCGCACCGAGGUAAUGAUUAAUAGGGACAGUUGGGGG